rnacentral:rRNA from 3 species
UGACCUCAAAUCAGGUAGGACUACCCGCUGAACUUAAGCAUAUCAU